GAUGAACGCUAGCGGCAGGCCUAACACAUGCAAGUCGAACGGUAACAUGAGUAGCAAUACUUGAUGACGAGUGGCGCACGGGUGCGUAACGCGUAUGCAACUUACCUCUAACUGGAGAAUAGCCUUCCGAAAGGAAGAAUAAUACUCCAUAAUAUUACGAUGUGGCAUCACAUUGUUCUUAAAGCUUCGGCGGUUAGAGAUGGGCAUGCGUCUGAUUAGCUUGUUGGUGAGGUAACGGCUCAUCAAGGCAACGAUCAGUAGGGGGCCUGAGAGGGUUAUCCCCCACACUGGUACUGAGACACGGACCAGACUCCUACGGGAGGCAGCAGUGAGGAAUAUUGGACAAUGGGCGCAAGCCUGAUCCAGCAAUGCCGCGUGAGUGAUGAAGGCCUUAGGGUUGUAAAGCUCUUUUACCAGGGAUGAUAAUGACAGUACCUGGAGAAUAAGCUCCGGCUAACUCCGUGCCAGCAG
rnacentral:rRNA from 1 species